GACGAACGCUGGCGGUGUGCUUAACACAUGCAAGUCGAACGGUAAGGCCCUUUCGGGGGUACACGAGUGGCGAACGGGUGAGUAACACGUGAGUAACCUGCCCUCAUCUCUGGGAUAACAGUCGGAAACGGUUGCUAAUACUGGAUAUGAGCUUGCGAGGCAUCUUGUGGGUUGGAAAGAUUUUUUUUGGUUGGGGAUGGACUCGCGGCCUAUCAGCUUGUUGGUGAGGUAGUGGCUCACCAAGGCUUCGACGGGUAGCCGGCCUGAGAGGGCGACCGGCCACAUUGGGACUGAGAUACGGCCCAAACUCCUACGGGAGGCAGCAGUGGGGAAUAUUGCACAAUGGACGGAAGUCUGAUGCAGCAACGCCGCGUGCGGGAUGACGGCCUUCGGGUUGUAAACCGCUUUCAAUUGUGACGAAGCUUUUUUGUGACGGUAGCAGUAGAAGAAGCACCGGCUAACUACGUG
rnacentral:rRNA from 1 species